UGGGGAAUAUUGGACACUGGGCGAAAGCCUGAUCCAGCCAUGCCGCGUGUGUGAAGAAGGUCUUCGGAUUGUAAAGCACUUUAAGUUGGGAGGAAGGGCAGUAAGCGAAUACCUUGCUGUUUUGACGUUACCGACAGAAUAAGCACCGGCUAACUCUGUGCCAGCAGCCGCGGUAAUACAGAGGGUGCAAGCGUUAAUCGGAAUUACUGGGCGUAAAGCGCGCGUAGGUGGUUCGUUAAGUUGAAUGUGAAAGCCCCGGGCUCAACCGGGGAACUGCAUCCAAAACUGGCGAGCUAGAGUGGGGCAGAGGGUGGUGGAAUUUCCUGUGUAGCGGUGAAAUGCGUAGAUAUAGGAGGGAACACCAGUGGCGAAGGCGACCACCUGGGCUCAUACUGACACUGAGGUGCGAAAGCGUGGGGAGCAAACAGG
rnacentral:rRNA from 1 species